rnacentral:rRNA from 1 species
AGACUACCCGUGUAGUCCUAGCCGUAAACGAUACUCGCUAGGUGUCGGCCACGGUGCGACCGUUGUCGGUGCCGUAGGGAAGCCGUGAAGCGAGCCACCGUGGGAAAGUACGGCCGCAAGGCUGAAACUUAAAGGAAUUGGCGGGGAGCACCACAACGGGCGGAGCCUGCGGUUUAAUUGGACUCAACGCCGGGAAGCUCACCGGAUAAGACAGCGGAAUGAUUGCCGGGCUGAAGACCCUGCAUGACCAGCUG